GAUGACUUGGCCGAGCGGUCUAAGGCGCCGCAGUCAAGUUGCGGUCUCGAAAGAGGCGUGAGUUCGAAUCUUACAGUCAUCA
rfam:Rhizophagus irregularis DAOM 181602 strain DAOM 197198 GLOINscaffold_2425_Cont2427, whole genome shotgun sequence.